UAAGAGAUUAGUGGAGUAUCAUUUGUGUGGCGGUAUGACGUGCGGUGUGUUAAUAAUGCGUAGCGGUUUCAUCCCCGAAAAUAAUGUUGAAAAAAAAAUAACGUAAAUAUAAAACUGUUGAGCAGUUUGUUUUUUUAGAUGUUCUGGAAAACAAAUUACAAAUUCCGGAAAAAGUGAAUACGUUCCGAGAUGAUUCACUCAAAUAGAUCACUUGGAAUAAUAAAUGGCAAUAAUGCCUAGAAAAUCGUUUGUAACCGUGUU